CCUGUCUGGCCAGCAGGUCGAGGAAUAUUCCAACAACGUCCCCAUUCUUCCCUGAUCAAAGGAGCCGGGAUUGAACCUGCUGUAAUCAUCCGUCGGGGAGUUUGCUUAAAAUUCCCCUAAUUACGGGCGAGCAGAAAAUUGCUGUGCCUCAGACUGAAUAGAGAAAUCGAAGGCGCCCUUCUCCCAGCUGCCUGGGGGAGACGAGCGAGUCUGGGAACAGAAAGGCUGGGAGAAGCGAGGGGGCGACUACGGAUGGCAGCGAUGGGAGGGAGAACGCUGUUCUGAGGUUGUGCCAGGAGCAGGAGAGGGAGGGAGGGAACCCGCUGGAAUGGAGGGGGUGGGGGUAGUGGCCAGCUCAGGUGAGACACCCGCCCCCUCCCUCACAGCGAGAAGUGUGCAAGGGAGGGAGGAUGGGCCCGUGGGGAAGAAAGAGCCAGAAAUGCACCUUCCCGUGGCUGGAGGACCCAAAACUCUGGUUUAGUGAAGAAUGUAGGCUCUGGGCUGUCCUCCCUGCCGGGACAGGGCAGGGAAAGCCCAAAUGGGGAGGUCAGGGAGAAGUGAACAAGACAGGGUUCCUCCAGGCACCCACUUGGGCUUGGCACUGUUCUGGGCACGUGGAAGGAUCUAGAAGGAGGAAGAGGGGACAGGAUGCCUACCCCCUGGGAGAUCUCAGUCUGAAGCUGGCUCUGGGUGAGCACUGCAACCCAAGAACUCAAGACUCCAGAUGACCUCUGUGGCUUCCACAUCUGUGUGAAAUAGAUGAAGAACUGCAUGCAGAGACUCUCCCGAGCCCUGACUCCCACAACCCAAGCACUGGGUCUGGCUAGUCAGCUUGGCUCAGUAUUUAUGGAAGUUCUUUGUGGAAAUGCCAGAGGAUCCCAGAAGUGCUGAGAGCAACCAACAAAGGGCCUAGACCUUAUCCACCCUUCAGAACCCAGCAGAAGAUGAAGAAGAGGUGCACACCUGUGAUCUCAGCUGAUGAGGAAGGAGGAUCACAAGUCUGAAGCCAGCCUCAGCACCUUAGCAAGACUCUGUCUCAAAAUAAAAUAAAAAGGGCUAGGGGUGUGUCUCAGGUGGCAGAGCACUUGCCUUUACAUGUUCAAGGAAGAGUUUAAUCCCCAGUACCAGGGGGGGAAAAAAAUCUAGUACAAAUACCACCUCUUUGAUGAAACCUUCCUCCAAAUGAACUUUUCUUUUCCCUUAAGUGCUUUAUCCACAUAGGCCUCAGGAACCUGACCACAUUCUUCUUGGCAUGGUGCAAAUCUGGCUAGGUUGGCCAUAUUUGGGGCUCCAUGUGUCGGGAGCCAGGUCUUUCUCAUCCCUCCAUUACAAGAGCUCCAUAACUAAUCUGGGGACAAAGGGAGACUGAUGGAGAGAAGAUCAUGGUGGAGAGGCUGGGAGUUGGAGCGUGCAGAUCAGAGGACACAGGAGGGGUACCGGAAAGACCAGCUGAAAUAUCCGGAGAGCUGUUGCUUGCCCUUGGAAAUCCAGAUCGCAUUUGAGGACCAAAUAGGAAAGAAGCGUGUUUCAUCCCGGGGAACUAAGAAAGUGAAGGUCAUCAUCUUCUGGACAAUCUCAAGGGAGGCAAAGGAGCAAGCUCUGGCUACAGGGAGACCAUGCUUUAGGGAGAGAAGUCCGCCUCCGUGUGGUUUUGGUCGUGGCAGCAGCAGAAAUAGAAUGGAUUUUGUUCAAUAUUUUUCAUUUCAGAUGUUCUAUUUUCAUCUUUAUAAAUUCCAUUUUUUAAAAUUC